AUGAGAAUUAUCCCACCAUGCCCCUGUGCGAGAUGUGCCAGACGUCACCGUAAAAAUCAGACGGACAUGAGUGAGCACCUUCGCACGCACGGAUAUAUGCCAAACUUUGACAUGCCGCCGAUAAACAUAGCCAAGCAGAUCCGUUGUAGAGAGGAGGUGAUGCGACAACGCAUCGAUGGAUAUGAGGACGACGGGGUCAGGGACAUGCUAGAUGAUGUCAUUGUUGCAGAAACGGGAAAUGCGACACCUUCAGAGAAUGAAUCGGAGGAGCCGGAGGCAACCGCAAAGACCUUCUUGGAGGUCUUGGCCUCGUCGAAGAAACCUCUUUAUGCGGGGGCAAAAAUAUCUCAGCUGGAUGCCAUCUCGCAACUGAUUGCAGUCAAGGCUGAGUACGGCUGUAGCCAGAAAUGCUUCGAAGCAUUCUUGGGAGUAUGGGCUAACAGCCUCCCUGAGGGUCAUGAACUGCCGAAAAGCAUGUACGAUACAAAGAAAAUCAUGAAGGCACUCUCUAUGGAUUAUGAGAAAAUAGAUGUUUGCCCGAAGAAUUGCCUUUUGUUUAGGCACGAGUAUGCGGAUGACAAGUACUGUAGGCAGUGCGGUUCGUCUCGGUACAUUGAUGUGGUCGGUGAGGAUGGUGAGAAAAAGCAGCUAACCAUCCCCGUUAAGGUUCUUCGGUAUCUUGAAUUUAUAAAAAGAUUGCAGCGCCUUUUCAUCACGAAGGAGUCUGCCAAAAUGAUGAAGUGGCACAAGGAAGGUAUAAGGUACAAUCCAAAAAAAAUCGUACAUCCAUCGGAAGGGGAAGCAUGGAAGUCGUUCGAUGAAGAAUACCCCGAGGAAGCAGCCGAGGCUGGGAAUGUCAGAAUAGCCAUAUCAGGUGAUGGGUUGAAUCCAUAUGGUAUGUCGUCCAAUCCGUACAACUGCUGGCCCGUGUUUGUAAUUCCACUCAAUCUUCCUCCCGGUGCCCUAAUGCAACGCAAGACCAUGUUUCGCUCAUCAUUCCGGGGCCUGAUUAUCCGGGGAAGCAAUUGGGUGUGUUUAUGCAGCCGUUGGUGGAUGCUUUGCACCAUUCUUGGUACUUUCUGA
rnacentral:rRNA from 1 species